rfam:Camelus ferus unplaced genomic scaffold scaffold2032, whole genome shotgun sequence.
AAGGGUAUAGCUCAGUGGUAGAGUGCAUGUCUAGCAUGCAUGAAGUCCUGGGUUCAAGCCCCAGAACCCCCA